rnacentral:rRNA from 1 species
GUACACGGUGGAUGCCCUGGCAGUCAGAGGCGAUGAAGGACGUGCUAAUCUGCGAAAAGCGUCGGUAAGGUGAUAUGAACCGUUAUAACCGGCGAUGUCCGAAUGGGGAAACCCAGUGUGAUUCGUCACACUAUCGUUAACUGAAUACAUAGGUUAACGAGGCGAACCGGGGGAACUGAAACAUCUAAGUACCCCGAGGAAAAGAAAUCAACCGAGAUUCCCCCAGUAGCGGCGAGCGAACGGGGAGCAGCCCAG